GGUACAGUGGCGGACCAGGAUUA
rnacentral:siRNA from 1 species